rnacentral:rRNA from 1 species
AGUGAACGCUGGCGGUAGGCCUAACACAUGCAAGUCGAACGGCAGCACAGUAAGAGCUUGCUCUUACGGGUGGCGAGUGGCGGACGGGUGAGGAAUACAUCGGAAUCUACUUUUUCGUGGGGGAUAACGUAGGGAAACUUACGCUAAUACCGCAUACGACCUACGGGUGAAAGCAGGGGAUCUUCGGACCUUGCGCGAUUGCAUGAGCCGAUGUCGGAUUAGCUAGUUGGCGGGGUAAAGGCCCACCAAGGCGACGAUCCGUAGCUGGUCUGAGAGGAUGAUCAGCCACACGAGAACUGAGACACGGUCCAGACUCCCACGGGAGGCAGCAGUGGGGAAGAUGGGACAAUGGGCGCAAGCCUGAUCCAGCCAUACCGCGUGGGUGAAGAAGGCCUUCGGGUUGUAAAGCCCUUUUGUGGGGAAAGAAAAGCAGCAGGGUAAUACCCCGCUGUUCUGACGGUACCCAAAGAAUAAGCACCGGCUAACUUCGUG